rnacentral:rRNA from 1 species
GAUGAACGCUGGCUACAGGCUUAACACAUGCAAGUCGAGGGGAAACGACGGGGAAGCUUGCUUCCCCGGGCGUCGACCGGCGCACGGGUGAGUAACGCGUAUCCAACCUGCCUCUGACUGAGGGAUAACCCGUCGAAAGUCGGCCUAAUACCUCAUGGCAUCGUCUGCGGGCAUCCAACGACGAUUAAAUAUUUCAUCGGUCAGGGAUGGGGAUGCGUCUGAUUAGCUUGUUGGCGGGGUAACGGCCCACCAAGGCUACGAUCAGUAGGGGUUCUGAGAGGAAGGUCCCCCACAUUGGAACUGAGACACGGUCCAAACGCCUAGGGGAGGCAGCAGUGAGGAAUAUUGGUCAAUGGGCGGGAGCCUGAACCAGCCAAGUAGCGUGCAGGAUGACGGCCCUAUGGGUUGUAAACUGCUUUUAUGCGGGGAUAAAGUGAGGGACGUGUCCUUCAUUGCAGGUACCGCAUGAAUAAGGACCGGCUAAUUCCGUG